CCGACGUGACGUGACGUAUGUCGGAAUGCUACAGUUGAUAAAACUGUUAUCAACAUAAAUUUGUCGGUUAUUUAUGUACCUAUAUGGUUGUUUUCAGCCUGCAAAAACGUUAAAUAGUUCUUAAAUUUACAAUAGGAUACAAUAGUUUUGGAAAAUGUUGGAUCUAGAAUAUGACUAUUUUCUGGAAGAAGAUAAAAUUGCAUGAAUUCGGCUGUGCUUUUAAAUGUUCCACCAAGGCUAUCAAUACACCAGGAUGUUACCCCUACAGAUGUAUUCCAGUAGAUUUCUUGGAGAUAUUUAUUUAUACGAGGAUAAAAUGUAAAUGUAUA